GACGAACGCUGGCGGCGUGCUUAACACAUGCAAGUCGAACGCUGAAGCUCAGCUUUUGUUGGGUGGAUGAGUGGCGAACGGGUGAGUAACACGUGAGUAACCUGCCUCCUUCUUCGGGAUAACGCCCGGAAACGGGUGCUAAUACUGGAUAUUCACUGGUCUUCGCAUGGGGGUUGGUGGAAAGGGUUUUUCUGGUGGGGGAUGGGCUCGCGGCCUAUCAGCUUGUUGGUGGGGUGAUGGCCUACCAAGGCUUUGACGGGUAGCCGGCCUGAGAGGGUGACCGGUCACAUUGGGACUGAGAUACGGCCCAGACUCCUACGGGAGGCAGCAGUGGGGAAUAAUGCACAAUGGGCGCAAGCCUGAUGCAGCGACGCCGCGUGAGGGAUGGAGGCCUUCGGGUUGUGAACCUCUUUCGCUCAUGGUCAAGCCGCAACAAUGGUUGUGGUGAGGGUAGUGGGUAAAGAAGCGCCGGCUAACUACGUG
rnacentral:rRNA from 1 species